GUUUACUUUCAAAAUUGUGAAUAAGCAGCGAGUUACAAUAUUGGGACAUAGGCAAGACAACGGACCAGUACAAUUGAAUGGGGCUAUCAAAUCUGGCCAUGCCAUGCAUAAAACAUAUGAAUGUGUGUCUGUGUGUGUGUUUGUGUAUGUGUGUGUGUUAAACAGUGUUGUUUAAUAAUACUGUUUUGCAAUAGAAUUUGGUUUAGUAGACAUUUAGGGCGAAUAGUAUAUGUGUAUUUCGUGUGUGUGUGUCUGUAUGUGUAUUUUUUAGACGCGUCUCUUUUGUAUAGAUACGCAAAGAGAGCUUUAGCAUAUAUAGCGCAUAUAUAGUAUAGAGAGGAGCAUAACAAAGUUAUAAUAAUUAUAUAGAUUUUAGAUAUUCGAUAUUCGGAAAUUAAAUAGCGAAUUGUGGCAAAACAAAUCAAAUUUUAAUUCAAAGCUUUAUACAUUUUUCAAGCUAUACGUAAUAUGUAGAUGGAUAUGAAGGCAUUUUUGCUCUUUUCCUUUUUUUUUGUU